rnacentral:rRNA from 1 species
CCCUUAGAUGUCCUGGGCCGCACGCGCGCUACACUGAGUGUCUGAGAUACGAGUUUGCCUGGUCCGGCAAGGUCUAGGUAAUCGCUAAAAGACACAUCAUGCUUGGGAUAGAUUAUUGCAAAUAUUAAUCUUGAACGAGGAAUUCCUAGUAAGCGCAAGUCAACAGCUUGCGUUGAUUACGUCCCUGCCCUUUGUACACACCGCCCGUCGCUACUACUGAUUGGAUGUUUAAGCGAGGUUCUCGAACUGCUAGCGACUUAGCUUCGGUGAGGUCGCAGUGUGGGAAGUGAACCUAGCUUUGGUGUCUAGAGGAAGUAAAAGUCGUAACA